rnacentral:rRNA from 1 species
UGNUCUGUAACUGACGCUGAGGCUCGAAAGCGUGGGGAGCGAACAGGAUUAGAUACCCUGGUAGUNCACGCCGUAAACGAUGAGUGCUAGGUGUUAGGCCCUUUCCGGGGCUUAGUGCCGCAGCUAACGCAUUAAGCACUCCGCCUGGGGAGUACGACCGCAAGGUUGAAACUCAAAGGAAUUGACGGGGGCCCGCACAAGCGGUGGAGCAUGUGGUUUAAUUCGAAGCAACGCGAAGAACCUUACCAGGUCUUGACAUCCCGAUGCCCGCUCUAGAGAUAGAGUUUUACCUCGGUACAUCGGUGACAGGUGGUGCAUGGUUGUCGUCAGCUCGUGUCGUGAGAUGUUGGGUUAAGUCCCGCAACGAGCGCAACCCUUAUUGUUAGUUGCCAUCAUUCAGUUGGGCACUCUAGCGAGACUGCCGGUAAUAAACCGGAGGAAGGUGGGGAUGACGUCAAAUCAUCAUGCCCCUUAUGACCUGGGCUACACACGUGCUACAAUGGCUGGUACAACGAGUCGCAAGUCGGUGACGGCAAGCUAAUCUCUUAAAGCCAGUCUCAGUUCGGAUUGUAGGCUGCAACUCGCCUACAUGAAGUCGGAAUCGCUAGUAAUCGCGGAUCAGCACGCCGCGGUGAAUACGUUCCCGGGCCUUGUACACACCGCCCGUCACACCACGAGAGUUUGUAACACCCGAAGUCGGU